rnacentral:rRNA from 1 species
AACGAACGCUGGCGGCAUGCCUAACACAUGCAAGUCGAACGUGACCUUCGGGUCUAGUGGCGCACGGGUGCGUAACGCGUGGGAACCUGCCCUUAGGUUCGGAAUAACUCCCCGAAAGGGGUGCUAAUACCGGAUAAUGUCUUCGGACCAAAGAUUUAUCGCCUUUGGAUGGGCCCGCGUUGGAUUAGCUAGUUGGUAGGGUAAAAGCCUACCAAGGCGACGAUCCAUAGCUGGUCUGAGAGGAUGAUCAGCCACACUGGGACUGAGACACGGCCCAGACUCCUACGGGAGGCAGCAGUGGGGAAUAUUGGACAAUGGGCGAAAGCCUGAUCCAGCAAUGCCGCGUGAGUGAUGAAGGCCUUAGGGUUGUAAAGCUCUUUUACCCGGGAUGAUAAUGACAGUACCGGGAGAGUAAGCUCCGGCUAACUCCGUG